CAACUACUCCCUCUGUCCCAAAUUUCUUGUCUUAAAUUUGUCUAGAUACAGAUGUAUCUAAUACUAAAAUGUGACUUGAUACAUCCAUAUCUAGACAAAUCUAAGACAAGAAUUUUGGGACGGAGGGAGUACUUU
rnacentral:pre_miRNA from 1 species